UUUUUCUGACAGCAUUAAAAGAAUCUUACAAUCAAAUCAAACAACUAAAAACGUUUUUCAUGUUCAUAGAGUCAGAAUAAUUUUGUUCAUAUUUUCACUCCUCCUUUAACCUUUUUUCUCAAAUGUUAUUGGUUUAUUAUAGAGCAUCUCUGUUUCCUUCAUCCACUCUGCUUCUCAUCUCCUCCAGUUUCUGGACCUUCUCUGUGUCUCCUUCCUCCUUCAUCUUCUCAAUUAGGAAGUCCAAGUGGACAAUAGUGGACGCUGAAUCAGCUUUCAGAGCGAUCUGCUCCAGACUGACAACAUGUUUGUAGGACUCAUCCAGUAACUGUGACUUCUCUGCUGUCAGUCGGCUCAUUUCCUUUUCAAGAUUUUCCAAAAGGCUUUGCUUGUUCUGACUUUCAUUUUUAUUUGUCUCAUAUUUCUUUCUCAUUUCUUCCAUCGUCUUCUUAACUUUUUUGGUCUUGUUCACAUAUCUCCACUUUUCUUUCACAUGUUUUGAUGCAGGACACUUCCUGAUACAAACAGUGCAGUUGCCAUCUUUAAUGACCUCACAGUGUGAAGGAUACCAGGACACAGUGCAUCCAGGAUAGUGACAGUUCUCCUUACAGACUGUACAGCACAGAGCUCCCUGAUAAAAAGCACCCCACAUCCCACCUUUGAUAUUUUCUUCUUCUGUGUAGGCCUCAUCUACUUCAAUGGUUUUGGAUGCUGGCUUUCAGUUUGAUGCGCUUCUUCAACACUUUUUUGGUUUUCAUCAGCCUUUGAGGUCCACAACUUGAAGUGAACAGGCUCAUUCUUCUCAUUUCUGGCACAUUCAAUCUUUGCUGCUUCAAGCGCUUCAAGAGCAUUUUCAGGUGGCAUUCCAUCUGAGUGUGUGAUCAGAGCUACAAUAUUUUUCUUCAAGUUUUUUCCAAACAGAGAAAUCACAGAAUCAAAGAUGUAUCUCUGCCGCUUACUCAGUCGAUUAUCUGUCGCCUUCAUCACCAGACCCACUGAAUUAAGUUCAUGAACUCCAUCCUCUGACCGAAACAAGUCCAAUAAUCUUUCACUAACGAUGUUAUCAUGUUCAUCACCUUUGGUGUCUCCAAAUCCAGGAGUAUCGAUGAUGGUCAGAGAGUAGGGCAGAGUUUGAUCUUCAAAACCAAAGAUCUCUCGUACACGAUCACAUCUGAUGUCUGACUUUCUGUCUGACUUUUC
ensembl:lncRNA